UUAAGUUAUUAAGGGCGCACGGUGGAUGCCUUGGCACUAGAAGCCGAUGAAGGACGUUACUAACGACGAUAUGCUUUGGGGAGCUGUAAGUAAGCUUUGAUCCAGAGAUUUCCGAAUGGGGAAACCCAGCAUGAGUUAUGUCAUGUUAUCGAUAUGUGAAUACAUAGCAUAUCAGAAGGCACACCCGGAGAACUGAAACAUCUUAGUACCCGGAGGAAGAGAAAGAAAAUUCGAUUCCCUUAGUAGCGGCGAGCGAAACGGGAAGAGCCCAAACCAACAAGCUUGCUUGUUGGGGUUGUAGGACACUCUAUACGGAGUUACAAAGGACGACAUUAGACGAAUCAUCUGGAAAGAUGAAUCAAAGAAGGUAAUAAUCCUGUAGUCGAAAAUGUUGUCUCUCUUGAGUGGAUCCUGAGUACGACGGAGCACGUGAAAUUCCGUCGGAAUCUGGGAGGACCAUCUCCUAAGGCUAAAUACUCUCUAGUGACCGAUAGUGAANUGUAACACCCGAAGCCGGUGGAGUAACCUUUUAGGAGCUAGCCGUCGAAGGUGGGACAAAUGAUUGGGGUGAAGUCGUAACAAGGUAGCCGUAUCGGAAGGUGCGGCUGGAUCACCUCCUUUCUAAGGAUAUAUUCGGAACAUCUUCUUCAGAAGAUGCGGAAUAACGUGACAUAUUGUAUUCAGUUUUGAAUGUUUAUUUAACAUUCAAAUAUUUUUUGGUUAAAGUGAUAUUGCUUAUGCGAGCGCUUGACAAUCUAUUCUUUUUAAAGAAAGCGGUUGUCAGACAAUGCAUUAAGAAAAAUUAAAGCGGAGUUUACUUUUGUAAAUGAGCAUUUGAUUUUUUGAAAAUAAAGCAGUAUGCGAGCGCUUGACUAAAAAGAAAUUGUACAUUGAAAACUAGAUAAGUAAGUAAAAUAUAGAUUUUACCAAGCAAAACCGAGUGAAUAAAGAGUUUUAAAUAAGCUUGAAUUCAUAAGAAAUAAUCGCUAGUGUUCGAAAGAACACUCACAAGAUUAAUAACGCGUUUAAAUCUUUUUAUAAAAGAAAACGUUUAGCAGACAAUGAGUUAAAUUAUUUUAAAGCAGAGUUUACUUAUGUAAAUGAGCAUUUAAAAUAAUGAAAACGAAGCCGUAUGUGAGCGUUUGACUUAUAAAAAUGGUGGAAACAUAGAUUAAGUUAUUAAGGGCGCACGGUGGAUGCCUUGGCACUAGAAGCCGAUGAAGGACGUUACUAACGACGAUAUGCUUUGGGGAGCUGUAAGUAAGCUUUGAUCCAGAGAUUUCCGAAUGGGGAAACCCAGCAUGAGUUAUGUCAUGUUAUCGAUAUGUGAAUACAUAGCAUAUCAGAAGGCACACCCGGAGAACUGAAACAUCUUAGUACCCGGAGGAAGAGAAAGAAAAUUCGAUUCCCUUAGUAGCGGCGAGCGAAACGGGAAGAGCCCAAACCAACAAGCUUGCUUGUUGGGGUUGUAGGACACUCUAUACGGAGUUACAAAGGACGACAUUAGACGAAUCAUCUGGAAAGAUGAAUCAAAGAAGGUAAUAAUCCUGUAGUCGAAAAUGUUGUCUCUCUUGAGUGGAUCCUGAGUACGACGGAGCACGUGAAAUUCCGUCGGAAUCUGGGAGGACCAUCUCCUAAGGCUAAAUACUCUCUAGUGACCGAUAGUGAACCAGUACCGUGAGGGAAAGGUGAAAAGCACCCCGGAAGGGGAGUGAAAUAGAACCUGAAACCGUGUGCUUACAAGUAGUCAGAGCCCGUUAAUGGGUGAUGGCGUGCCUUUUGUAGAAUGAACCGGCGAGUUACGAUUUGAUGCAAGGUUAAGCAGUAAAUGUGGAGCCGUAGCGAAAGCGAGUCUGAAUAGGGCGUUUAGUAUUUGGUCGUAGACCCGAAACCAGGUGAUCUACCCUUGGUCAGGUUGAAGUUCAGGUAACACUGAAUGGAGGACCGAACCGACUUACGUUGAAAAGUGAGCGGAUGAACUGAGGGUAGCGGAGAAAUUCCAAUCGAACCUGGAGAUAGCUGGUUCUCUCCGAAAUAGCUUUAGGGCUAGCCUCAAGUGAUGAUUAUUGGAGGUAGAGCACUGUUUGGACGAGGGGCCCCUCUCGGGUUACCGAAUUCAGACAAACUCCGAAUGCCAAUUAAUUUAACUUGGGAGUCAGAACAUGGGUGAUAAGGUCCGUGUUCGAAAGGGAAACAGCCCAGACCACCAGCUAAGGUCCCAAAAUAUAUGUUAAGUGGAAAAGGAUGUGGCGUUGCCCAGACAACUAGGAUGUUGGCUUAGAAGCAGCCAUCAUUUAAAGAGUGCGUAAUAGCUCACUAGUCGAGUGACACUGCGCCGAAAAUGUACCGGGGCUAAACAUAUUACCGAAGCUGUGGAUUGUCCUUUGGACAAUGGUAGGAGAGCGUUCUAAGGGCGUUGAAGCAUGAUCGUAAGGACAUGUGGAGCGCUUAGAAGUGAGAAUGCCGGUGUGAGUAGCGAAAGACGGGUGAGAAUCCCGUCCACCGAUUGACUAAGGUUUCCAGAGGAAGGCUCGUCCGCUCUGGGUUAGUCGGGUCCUAAGCUGAGGCCGACAGGCGUAGGCGAUGGAUAACAGGUUGAUAUUCCUGUACCACCUAUAAUCGUUUUAAUCGAUGGGGGGACGCAGUAGGAUAGGCGAAGCGUGCGAUUGGAUUGCACGUCUAAGCAGUAAGGCUGAGUAUUAGGCAAAUCCGGUACUCGUUAAGGCUGAGCUGUGAUGGGGAGAAGACAUUGUGUCUUCGAGUCGUUGAUUUCACACUGCCGAGAAAAGCCUCUAGAUAGAAAAUAGGUGCCCGUACCGCAAACCGACACAGGUAGUCAAGAUGAGAAUUCUAAGGUGAGCGAGCGAACUCUCGUUAAGGAACUCGGCAAAAUGACCCCGUAACUUCGGGAGAAGGGGUGCUCUUUAGGGUUAACGCCCAGAAGAGCCGCAGUGAAUAGGCCCAAGCGACUGUUUAUCAAAAACACAGGUCUCUGCUAAACCGUAAGGUGAUGUAUAGGGGCUGACGCCUGCCCGGUGCUGGAAGGUUAAGAGGAGUGGUUAGCUUCUGCGAAGCUACGAAUCGAAGCCCCAGUAAACGGCGGCCGUAACUAUAACGGUCCUAAGGUAGCGAAAUUCCUUGUCGGGUAAGUUCCGACCCGCACGAAAGGCGUAACGAUUUGGGCACUGUCUCAACGAGAGACUCGGUGAAAUCAUAGUACCUGUGAAGAUGCAGGUUACCCGCGACAGGACGGAAAGACCCCGUGGAGCUUUACUGUAGCCUGAUAUUGAAAUUCGGCACAGCUUGUACAGGAUAGGUAGGAGCCUUUGAAACGUGAGCGCUAGCUUACGUGGAGGCGCUGGUGGGAUACUACCCUAGCUGUGUUGGCUUUCUAACCCGCACCACUUAUCGUGGUGGGAGACAGUGUCAGGCGGGCAGUUUGACUGGGGCGGUCGCCUCCUAAAAGGUAACGGAGGCGCUCAAAGGUUCCCUCAGAAUGGUUGGAAAUCAUUCAUAGAGUGUAAAGGCAUAAGGGAGCUUGACUGCGAGACCUACAAGUCGAGCAGGGUCGAAAGACGGACUUAGUGAUCCGGUGGUUCCGCAUGGAAGGGCCAUCGCUCAACGGAUAAAAGCUACCCCGGGGAUAACAGGCUUAUCUCCCCCAAGAGUUCACAUCGACGGGGAGGUUUGGCACCUCGAUGUCGGCUCAUCGCAUCCUGGGGCUGUAGUCGGUCCCAAGGGUUGGGCUGUUCGCCCAUUAAAGCGGUACGCGAGCUGGGUUCAGAACGUCGUGAGACAGUUCGGUCCCUAUCCGUCGUGGGCGUAGGAAAUUUGAGAGGAGCUGUCCUUAGUACGAGAGGACCGGGAUGGACAUACCUCUGGUGUACCAGUUGUCGUGCCAACGGCAUAGCUGGGUAGCUAUGUGUGGACGGGAUAAGUGCUGAAAGCAUCUAAGCAUGAAGCCCCCCUCAAGAUGAGAUUUCCCAACUUCGGUUAUAAGAUCCCUCAAAGAUGAUGAGGUUAAUAGGUUCGAGGUGGAAGCAUGGUGACAUGUGGAGCUGACGAAUACUAAUCGAUCGAAGACUUAAUCAA
rnacentral:rRNA from 1 species